AGAUAAGAGGUGAGUGUUUGGUGUUUCACUCCAUCCGGCGGGGAGGCGCCUCGGCCGCUGUCCGAUGGUCUGUCGGAUGCUCGUGAAUCCCGCCUCCAUCAGCUCCACUUCACUAGAGCCGUCAGUCCGCAGGAGUAGGGGUAGCAAGUUCACCCGACGUCCGACGCCUUCUUCCAUCUCUAAAUAUCUUGUUUUUUGAGUUCAGUUCUUCGUCACAUGUUUCACUAGCUAAAAUUGCAUGGUGUUAUGAAAUUGCUUGCGGACUACUAGCUGAAAUUGAUUGACAAACAGAGCAAAAGGUUGUAUCUUCAUCUACUGUUUUUCAGAUAUUCGUCAUAUGCACGAGCACGACUAUAUUUGCUUGUUAUGAUCUAGUGGGCACCAUUAACAUUUUGAUAGUCCGUCUGCAGGGCCCAAACCCACUAUUGUGCAAGAAAAAGAAAGCAAAGCCCCAACCAUCAGCUGCUCAAUCAUCAGACCUGUGGGGAGAAGACGGAACUAAAAUGAUUCAGUUCAUCAUUGGCACCCCUGUAAACCAAACAGUGAAGAACACACCCCCUGUACUUUUGCGCUUGUUCUUUCUAUCUCCUAAAUUCUAUGCUUUCUGUGAUGAGCAUGCUUGGUACUAUAUAGAUACUGCUGUAGUAGUUCUAAUACAAUAUAUUACAAGAAUUCAUUGACAAAAAAGGUGUCAGUUCAUAUAUGUAUGCAGCAACUGUUCUGAUACUACUUCAGUAACCAAAAAAACACAAAAGUUCAACUAUACUUGUACAAAAUAGUUCAUUAUUUUAUUCUAUGACAGUCAAGAAAAACAGAAAAAAAGAGGUUCAUUGUGUGAUGAACAAUAGUCCCAACAAGUGUGGUAGAGAUGCAAAAAAGUGAUAGCAUAGUCGAUGCUAGUUUUCAAUCACUUUCUGAAGAAAACUGAAGUUGAUCAGAGUACCUGAAGAAUAAUCUGUUAGUUCUCAAGUAUGUGUAAUGCUGCCAUUUUACUGUGCAUUUGAUUCCAUCGAGAUGGAUGUAUUACAAGAUAUGGUUGUAUUAUUAUGUUGAAUAAAAAUGCCAUUUUGCUGCAACAUUUUCUGGCAGCUCCUGUCAAGUUAUACAUGUAUGUGAGGACCUUCUAUGUAGUAAGUUCAUUGUCGAGAAGUCAGGGACUUAGUAAAGAACGUGAACACCAAAAAACCAUUAAAAACCCUAAACCUUAUGUUAGGGGAGUUCAAGAAGUUCAUGGCUAGCUGUCCGUGUUGUGUAUUCUUAUCAGUUCAUAAUCGAGAAGACAUGUAUUCUUAUCAGUUUGUUUAUCUAGCCGGUCGUGCUGUGUAUUCUGGUCUGUUUGUGUGUGUAUGUGUUGCCCUCGCGGUGUACGAGAGGCCGCCAGUGAGGAAGUCACCGAUCUGGUCGAGGCAUGCUGCUAUUCUCUAUUUCCGGUAGCACAAACAUUUAAAAGUUCGAACACCAAACCCUGGUAAGUUCGUCUUGACAAAAACACAUCUCUCAUAUUUGUUCCUUUUUCGUAGGUUGAAGUUAAAACAAGAUGCACAAGUUCAUCUUUUGUAUGCUUUUCAGUUCAUCCACUUCCCGAUGAGCACUAGUACUGAUGAGUCGUACUGACAAGGAUGCCGGCAACCGGUGAUGCUCCUCCCGCCGCCACUCUGCCUCCUUCUCGAUGGGGCUACGCCGCCGCCGCGUGCAGGAAGUCCAUCGCCUCCACCCCAGGCCGUUCAAUGCCACCCGUCGUGGACGUGCUCCGCUCUAACGCCAUGGCUUGCGAUUCAGCGGCAAAUAACGGAGCCUGCAGAAGGAGCCGCCGGGUCGGGGACCUCCAGUUCGUCAGUCCAACAAAAGGCUAUAGAAAGUUGAGACUAGUUUGCAUUAAGGUGGUUCAAUGUGUCGAGCGGCAGCAGCACUUGAUCCCUAGUGGUUGCCCGCGCAAGGAGGAUACAGGGACGCUACAGUGUUGGAGGAGUCAGCACAUGUAGUAGCUAGCUCAAUAAAAGGAGGUUCAAAGACUGCCGUGUAGCAAGUUCAAGAGUUUAGUUUUGUGAAAAAAGUGAUUUCUUGGUUAAUGCAAUCCUCCUGUGGAAGCACUAAAACACGCUACUUGUUGAACUGAUACCGAAGACAAGGAGCAGGACCAAGUGUGCUGGAAGUUUUUUUGAACCCAUGUGCGGAGGCACUUUAUUUUUCUGAUAAUUAUUAUUGUGUUCAUGUGGGAAACUUCAAAAACAUCUUGUUUAAUAAGUUAUUAUUGAGCUAAAAAUGGUAUGGUUCAUACAUUCUCGUCGAUCCCGUUGUAAUCGUCCUUGUUUUUGUGAGUUUCCUGAUGCAACUUUUGUGGUCAGUCCGGAUGGAAGAAGGUGAUUCGUCCUUGUUUUUGUGA